GACGAACGCUGGCGGCGUGGAUUAGGCAUGCAAGUCGAACGGUAGGAACCUUUCGGGGUUUUGAGAGUGGCGAACGGGUGAGUAACACGUAGGUAAUCUACCCUCAAAUCGGGGACAACCCAGGGAAACUUGGGCUAAUACCGGAUGAGUGCACUUUCGGGUGUAUAAAAGAUGGCAGUAAUGCUGUUGUUUGAGGAUGAGCCUGCGCCCUAUUAGUUAGUUGGUGAGGUAACGGCUCACCAAGGCGAUGAUAGGUAGGCGGCCUUAACGGGUGGUCGCCCACACUGGGAUUGAGAUACGGCCCAGACUCCUACGGGAGGCUG
rnacentral:rRNA from 1 species